GGAAGGGGUGUAUUUAUUAGAUUAAAAACCAAUGCCCUUCGGGGCUCUCUGGUGAUUCAUAAUAACUUCUCGAAUCGCACGGCCUUGCGCCGGCGAUGGUUCAUUCAAAUUUCUGCCCUAUCAACUUUCGACGGCUGGGUCUUGGCCAGCCGUGGUGACAACGGGUAACGGAGGGUUAGGGCUCGACCCCGGAGAAGGAGCCUGAGAAACGGCUACUACAUCCAAGGAAGGCAGCAGGCGCGCAAAUUACCCAAUCCCGACACGGGGAGGUAGUGGCAAUAAAUACUGAUACAGGGCUCUUUCGGGUCUUGUAAUUGGAAUGAGUACAAUUUAAAUCCCUUAACGAGGAACAAUUGGAGGGCAAGUCUGGUGCCAGCAGCCGCGGUAAUUCCAGCUCCAAUAGCGUAUAUUAAAGUUGUUGCAGUUAAAAAGCUCGUAGUUGAACUUCAGAUCUGGUUGAGUGGUCCGCCUAACGGUGUGUUACUGCUUGACUGGGUCUUGUCUCUUGGUGAACCGUUGUGUUCUUUAUUGAAUGCUUCGGGGAACCAGGACUUUUAC
rnacentral:rRNA from 1 species